rnacentral:rRNA from 1 species
CUAACCUUGAUCCGUGAAUCCGGGAUCGGGGACCGUGCAUGGUGGGCAGUUUGACGUGGGGCGGUCUCCUCCCGAAAAGGUAACGGAGGAGUACGAAGGUACGCUUAGGGCGGUCGGACAUCGCCCAUAAAGUGCAAUGGCAAAAGCGUGCUUGACUGCGAGACCCACAAGUCGAGCAGGUGCGAAAGCAGGUCAUAGUGAUCCGGUGGUUCUGUAUGGAAGGGCCAUCGCUCAACGGAUAAAAGGUACUCUGGGGAUAACAGGCUGAUACCGCCCAAGAGUUCAUAUCGACGGCGGUGUUUGGCACCUCGAUGUCGGCUCAUCUCAUCCUGGGGCUGUAGACCGGUCCCAAGGGUAUGGCUGUUACGCCAUUUAAAGAGGUACGUGAGCUGGGUUUAAAACGUCGUGAGACAGUUUGGUCCCUAUCUGCCGUGGGGCGCUGGAUAUUGAAGGGGGCUGCUCCUAGUACGUAGAG